rnacentral:rRNA from 1 species
GAUGAACGCUGGCGGCGUGCCUAAUACAUGCAAGUCGAGCGAACGGACGAGAAGCUUGCUUCUCUGAUGUUAGCGGCGGACGGGUGAGUAACACGUGGAUAACCUACCUAUAAGACUGGGAUAACUUCGGGAAACCGGAGCUAAUACCGGAUGAUAUUUUGAACCGCAUGGUUCAAAAGUGAAAGACGGUCUUGCUGUCACUUAUAGAUGGAUCCGCGCUGCAUUAGCUAGUUGGUAAGGUAACGGCUUACCAAGGCAACGAUGCAUAGCCGACCUGAGAGGGUGAUCGGCCACAUUGGAACUGAGACACGGUCCAGACUCCUACGGGAGGCAGCAGUAGGGAAUCUUCCGCAAUGGGCGAAAGCCUGACGGAGCAACGCCGCGUGAGUGGUGAAGGUCUUCGGAUCGUAAAACUCUGUUAUUAGGGAAGAACAUAUGUGUAAGUAACUGUGCACAUCUUGACGGUACCUAAUCAGAAAGCCACGGCUAACUACGUG